CUAUGCCUGUUUGCGGGGAAUGAACCACCUGGAUGCCUUCCUCAGGAAGACGGUAUGUAACUGUCAGAUAGUGAACCUGGGGGCAGGGCUGGACACCACUUUCUGGAGGUUAAAGGUACUGGUCUAAUAAUCCCAUUAAACAAAUGCAUUUAUUUUACAGUACAAUCUAUGCUUGUCCUUGGUUUGUACUUUCAUUGUCAUUUGUUUGUCAUAUAAUAUAUGCCAUUUAGCUGACGCUUUUAUCCAAAGCGACUUACAGUCAUGUGUGCAUACAUUCUACGUAUGGGUGGUCCCGGGAAUCGAACCCACUACCCUGGCGUUACAAGCGCCAUGCUCUACCAACUGAGCCACAGAAGGACCACGUUUUUAUGUUUUUAGGAAGAAAACCUCGAAACCAAGUCGACUUUCCGAUGAUUGCUUGCAGGAAAAUACACAACAAAAAAUGGCCACAACCUAGACUCAGACAGGCACUGCAUCAUCGGUGCUGACCUCAGGGACAUCCCAGGCCUAGAUGACAAACUGAAGAAGUUCCACCUCAACCCAGAAGAAUAGAGCAUCUGGAGUUUCUGGAUGAAAAGGAACUUCUGCAGCAGCUCCUCCAACACUCAGUAUCUGCUGGGCCACCAAGGACAAGUUCAAGCAGCCUCUUUCUCUGUGCCAUGACCAACACUAUCAAGAGAGGAGAGAAAAAACCCAUCAACACCUUCACAUCAGACUCAAGUCUUGUCUGCUCUGUGGGAAAUGCAUGGCAUCAGCAGAAUUCUACUGAAUGUGUUUCCGUUGCAUCCCAUAAAAGCAACCACUGUCUCCCAACAUGCUUUUGUGAAGAGAAUGGAUGUUUCCGCUGGAAGUGUGAUACAGUGCAUUCGGAAAGUAUUCAGACCCCUUGACAUUUUCCACAUUUUUUUAUGUUACAGCCUUAUUCUAAAAAUGUAUGUAAUAAAACAUUUUCCUCAUCAAUCUACGCACAAUACCCCAUACUGACAAAGCAAAAACAUGUUUUUAGAAAUGUUUUCAAAUGUAUAAAAAACAGAAAUACCUUAUUGACAUAACUAUUCAGACCCUUCGUUAUGGAAUUGAAAUUGAGCUCAGGUGCAUCCCAUUGAUCAUCCUUGAGAUGUUUUACAACUUGGGAGUCCAUCUGUGGUAUAUUCAAUUGAUUGGACAUGAUUUGGAAAGGCACACACCUGUCUAUAUAAGGUCCCACAGUUGACACUGCAUGUCAGAGCAAAAACCAAGUCAUGAGGUCGAAGGAAUCCAACAAGACAACGCGCUAGUGGCUUCGGGACAAGUCUUUGAAUAUCCUUGAGUGGCCCGGACUUGAACCCGAUCGAACAUCUCUGGAGAGACCUGAAAGUAGCUGUGUCUAACCUAACAGUGUUUGAGAGGAUCUGCAGAAAAGAAUUGGAGAAACUCCCCAAAUACAGGUGUGCCAAGCUUGUAGUGUCAUACCCAAGAAGACUCUUGGCUGUAAUCGCUGCCAAAGGUACUUCAACAAAGUACUGAGUAAAUGGUCUGGAUACUUAUGUAAAUGUGAUAUUUCAGUUUUGAGGGGGGUGAAUAAAUUAGCAUAUUUAAAAUAAAAACAGUUUUUGCUUUGACAUUAUGCAGUAUUGUGUGUAGAUUGAUGAGGGGGGGGGGGUUAUUUGAUUUUAGAAUACGGGUGUAAUGUAACAAAAUGUGGAAAAUGUCCAAGGGGUGUGAGUACUUUCUGAAUACACUGUAUGAACGACAAGACACUGGUAGCUUAAGGACAUAAGCCCUAGCCUUCAUUUAAUUUUAUCCAUCUGUCUGCUCUGCACUGUCUGUUUCUAAUGUUCAUUCAGACAACAUAAAGCAGAGAGAAGUAAAAGGAAGAUUUAUUUUUAUUUGUCAAGUAUUUAAUGUGCCAUUGUGUUGUGAACUGAAAUAUUUGGUUUAUUUAGAAAUGUAUUGCUAAGACCGAUAUUUUCUUAUGUAUAGAAAUUAGGAGUUAAUACUUUGGAUGCACUUUAACAGAUCUGUUUGAUUCAAUUGCUGGAUUUACAGUAGCAAUAGAUACAUUUGCAUGUAACUAGGAUUCUUGUCUGAAAGAAAUCAACUGGGCAUUUUCACUCAGCAGAGCAAUUUCAAGUCCUCGCAAGUGAUACCACAGUACCAAUGAAAUGACAAUGCACGUCUAUGGCAGUUGAAUAAAGGUGUUUAAUAUUUGUGUAUGAAAACCUGACCACCAUCAUGUGGUCUACAAAUUGUACAUUUGAUACCAUGAAAGUCCAAUGUCAUUUCCACACGGAUGACACAUUAUAGUUACAGGGCACAGAAAGGAAAUGUUUGAGUUUCGCCUGUCGCCCUCUGUGAACUGUGUCCUGAUGGUCAGACCUGUGUUUUUACAGAGAAACAUUAACCCAAUAUGACCUUGUGUACACUGAGAUAGAGAUAGCGGCACUAGAGCACUGAAGACAUGGUAAGUCUAGAGAGAUGUUUAUAACACUGAAUUAUAGUGCCUAGUAAAAAUACAUACCACUUGCACAGUCUUUGCAUUAUUUUGCUUAUUUUAGCUGUUCUUGCCAUAAUAUGGACUUGGUCUUUUACCAAUAAAUGUGGUCCUUCUGUAGCUCAGUUGGUAGAGCAUGGCGCUUGUAACGCCAGGGUAGUGGGUUCGAUUCCCGGGAUCACCCAUACGUAGAAUGUAUGCACACAUGACUGUAAGUCGCUUUGGAUAAAAGCGUCUGCUAAAUGGCAUAUAUUAUUAUUAUUAUUAAGGCUAUCUUCUGUAUACCACCCCUACCUUGUCACAACUGAUUGGCUCAAACUCAUUAAGAAGGAAAUAAAUUCCACAAAUGAACUUUUACCAAGGCACACCUGAUAAUAGAAUUCCAGGUGACUUCAUGAAGCUGAUUGAGAGAGUGCCAAGAGUGCAAAGCUGUCAUCAAGGCUACUUUGAAUUAUAUAAAAUAGAUUUUGAUUUCUUUAACACUUUUUUGGUUUCUACAUGAUUCCAUGUGUUAUGUCAUAGUUGUGAUGUCUUCACUAUUAUUCUACAAUGUAGAAAAUAGUAAAAAUAAAGAAAAACCAUUGAAUUGCUA